CCUACGGGAGGCAGCAGUAGGGAAUCUUCCACAAUGGACGAAAGUCUGAUGGAGCAACGCCGCGUGAGCGAUGAAGGCCUUCGGGUCGUAAAGCUCUGUUGUUAGGGAAGAACAAGUACCGGAGUAACUGCCGGUACCUUGACGGUACCUAACCAGAAAGCCACGGCUAACUACGUGCCAGCAGCCGCGGUAAUACGUAGGUGGCAAGCGUUGUCCGGAUUUAUUGGGCGUAAAGCGCGCGCAGGUGGUUUCUUAAGUCUGAUGUGAAAGCCCACGGCUCAACCGUGGAGGGUCAUUGGAAACUGGGGAACUUGAGUGCAGAAGAGGAUAGUGGAAUUCCAAGUGUAGCGGUGAAAUGCGUAGAGAUUUGGAGGAACACCAGUGGCGAAGGCGACUGUCUGGUCUGUAACUGACACUGAGGCGCGAAAGCGUGGGGAGCAAACAGGAUUAGAUACCCUGGUAGUCCACGCCGUAAACGAUGAGUGCUAAGUGUUAGGGGGUUUCCGCCCCUUAGUGCUGCAGCUAACGCAUUAAGCACUCCGCCUGGGGAGUACGACCGCAAGGUUGAAACUCAAAGGAAUUGACG
rnacentral:rRNA from 1 species